CCUACGGGUGGCAGCAGUGAGGAAUAUUGGUCAAUGGACGCAAGUCUGAACCAGCCAAGUAGCGUGCAGGAUGACGGCCCUCCGGGUUGUAAACUGCUUUUAGUUGGGAAUAAAAGGGGGCUCGUGAGCUCCGUAUUGUAUGUACCAUCAGCAAAAGGACCGGCUACUUCCGUGCCAGCAGCCGCGGUAAUACGGAAGGUCCGGACGUUAUCCGGGUUUAUUGGGUUUAAAGGUAGCGUAGAUGGGUAGUUAAAUCAGGUGUGAAAAUUUUCGGUUCAACCGUAAAAUUGCAAUUGAUACUGGCGGUCUUGAGUGCAGUUGAGGUAGGCGGAAUUCGUGGUGUAGCGGUGAAAUGCUUAGAUAUCGAGAGGAACCCUCGUGGCGAAGGCGGGUUCCUGGACAUUAACUGACGCUGAGGCACGAAGGCCAGGGGAGCGAAAGGGAUUAGAUACCCGGGUAGUC
rnacentral:rRNA from 1 species